CAUUGGAUGUUGGUCAAACUGUUUAUUUUCGCGUUGGUGGACGUUGGAUCUUCUUUGGUUCUCGUUUUCACCGUGCGAUGAGUUCUCGGCAGACCAUGACCUGUGGGCUCAGUCUCUCAGCCGAUUGGCUGGGUGAGCCUUUUUCGGGCACGGACGGCCUAGCCUUUUUGGGGCACGGGCGGCCUCUCCUGCCGCGCCGCGUUCGUGCGUCGUGGGUGCUAUGCGCGAUUUACGCGUUAUGCGGUUCCCGCUCGCCCCUGUGGUUCGCUUGUCGGUGACGCUGCAGGUGGGGUUGUAUUCUCCUUGGUCCCGUGCGUCAUUGUCCUGCCUCUUGCUUUUUUGUGUGUGUGUGGCCUCCCGCGUCUGGAUUGGCUCGUGCCGAGUAUGGAGCGAGGAGGGACGCCAUCGCCAUGCCGCGUCGCAUCGUGAGGCGUACUGGAGGCUUCUUUUUCUUUGGGUCGUCUGUUACCUUUUCCUGUGUCGCUUUGACCCGUCGCCCACCUGCCUCGUCAUCCCUCUCGUUGUCCUCUCUUAGGCAUAGCCCUCUUCGUCUGCCCCAGGCCCAGCAAGCCCAGCAGGUGAUGGAGGCGCCGCCCUAGUUGCGAGGAAGCCGCUGGAGGAAGAGCUCAACUUGGACAUUGUCGACCGGAGGAGGGGAUCGAUUCGAUCUGCAGAAGAGAGAUAGUAGAUGAGAGGGGGAGAGGGAAGGAAGGAGACGGAUUCUAUCUCCAAGAGAGAGAGAAGAUGAGAGGGAAAGACUGAUGGAAGGAGAGGAGGGAGAAAGAGAGAGGAAAGAGGAGAGGGAGGCGCGACAACAGACAUGACAGGGUCAACAGUCGUCGUUUGCCUGCCCCGGCGAGGUAGGGCGCGACCUGAAGGUUGGUGGUGGCUCGAUCCGCUUCUCGAUCAGGACCUACGAGGAGGGUGGGGCUCGGGCGCGAGGUACGGCAGGCUGCGCUCCACCUCUUCCUCGAGGUGCAUGUGCAGUGGGCAGACGGCAGCUCGCGCGGUGGUGCGGGGGCCUCAACGGGUGCGCAAUGGGGACUCCAUGCAUCUCCUACGCUCCGCAACCCUUUCCUUCCCGACACAGCAGAAACAAGGAUGCCGAGGCGGUUCAGGUUUGCCUUCACCUCCUCUCAUUUGCAGCUUCAUUCAAGCAUAUAUAUUAAAUUGGUAGGUAUUCCAGGGAUUUAGCUUAUGUAUGGACUACACCUACAUGGAGAAGUUUCCAUGUACACAUAUCACUGAAAGUGGAAUAUAUAUUCCAAAUGCCAACACAACCAUAGUCCAAUAUGCAGAACUAUUUGCGCCCACGCAGCACAUACCUCUUCUACACUUACAAGUCUUCCUUUCCAGGAUUGCCAUGAUGAGCUGCUACUGUAGUGCUUUAUAAUUUUUUUUGUCCCUUUGCUAAACUUUGUUCUCUUAUUCUGAUGCUAUGAUUUGUAAUGGCUAGAUGAGAUUUGUGGUGAAAAGUUUCCUUUCUUUUGUUUACCUACAGAUCUUGAAUGCACGAUUGAUGAUUUUGUUUGACAGGUUAGAAAUCUAAAUAAUAAACAUUUUUAAAUUGUAUAGUUGGUAAACAUCGAAAUACAAGAAAAAUAUACUAGCUUACUACAAUGUUGUUUGAUCAAUUGCUUUGCAGGAGGCUCACUGAUGGAGUAUGCCUAAUCUCAAUUUAUUGCAUGGUGUUGGUAUGUUUCUUUUAUUCUAUUUAGGAGGGUUCUAAACUAUUAAGGGAAACAUACAAUUUAUCAGUUUGAGACCUGCUUCAGUCUGUGUGCUGCUGCCGGGGGACUUUGGAUGGUGGUCUUGAUAUUCCGCACAGUGACAAGAGAUUUGCUGGCUUCAAGAAGAAUGAGAAGUGGCUGGACACUGAGAUUCACCGCAACUACAUUUAUGAAGAUCAUGUUGCAGACUGCAUGAAGUCAAUAGCUGAUGAAGAACCUGAGGAGUACCAAUUUCACUUUAGUGAGUACAUCAAGAAGGGGAUUGCGGCUGAUGACAUGGAAGCACUGUACAAGAAGGUUCAUGCUACCAUUCGUGAUGAUCCUACCAUGGCAAAAUAAACCAAGGAACCUCCGAAGACGCACAAGAGGUAGAUGUAUCUUGUUGUUUAUUAAAGUCAGACAACUUAUUUCAGCACUUUCAUUGGAUUGCAAGUACGGGACUGUUCGCUGCAGGUAUAAUCUCAGGAAGCGUUGAGACACAGCUUGCCUUGUAUGUGAUGUUGCAGCUCAAAAUUAAGAUGCUGUCAAUCCAAUAAGAGAAGCCAAGGAGCUAUUGGCGAUCGUGUGGUGCGUACUAGAUCAUGAAGUUUAUCAGUAUGCAGUAAUGGCUAUCAUUUUUUUCUCAUACUCAUGUAGUCCAUUCACUCCUAAACUGUAUGUUCUUCUUUUGUUAAAACCUUGAAGUAUUAAGAUGUUAGGCUAAAUAUAUUCCUUCAUAAUCAAUAAUAGAAAUUUUUUCUAUGUAAUAAGAUACAGUUUCAUGCAAAAAAUAAUCUUGUCUUAUAUAGUUAUAUAUCAAAACUAUGGAUUUGCUAUGCACUUCUUGUGAUCAUUAGUGUUCACUGUUUUCCUUCGGAUUUUGUUGGACACCUGCGGCAUCGUGGUGUCGGAUGCGACGGACGCUGCCAGGUCCGCCCAUAUCAUGCUCAGGGAGCCUGGCCUCUUUAGUCGUGUUCUCCAUCUUGCAGCACAUGAUGAACUACACUGUAGAGUUCAGCUGUGUUUCCCCUGUUUUCUUCUACUACAAGAGUUCUAAUGAUUUUUUUUGAGGGAAGAGUUCUAAUGAUUUGUACUGUUUGGCUGCAAAUUUAUGUUCUUUGCAUCACCAUAUGGAUAGUCAUAACGAUUGAAGAGAUUUCAGAGAGUUUCACAAUCUGACUCGAGUCACGGGCUAUAGGUUAACUUUAAUUGAAUGGUAGUAUGGGAGUAAUAAUUCUGAAAUCUAGAAAUGAUCUUGUUUCUCAUAUAGAUCUUUCUGGUAAUCUGAUCUACCUUUGCUGUAUUAGUGGUGUUGGUUAGACAUCAACAGUGAUGCUUAAAAUAGCUAAAGGUGAUUGUUGUAGUUACUGGGAUCCUCCAAGUGGAUCAUAAUAAUGAUGAAAAAACAUAACCAAAAAAACAUAAACUGGAUUAAAAGGGAACCCACUUUCUAGGAUUGUGGGCUGAAGAGAGAAUGGAUACAGGCUUUGUCUCAAGGAGAUUAUCUGACAAGAAUGAAUUAGUCAUCAACAGUUGAGGUGCAGCGAACCUUCUUACUUGCUCCACCUUGUUAUUCUCUUCUUUUUUCUCCUUCGUUGUUGUGUCGCUCGACUGCAUCUUUAUUAGUUCAAACUCAUGCUUGUUUUAGCUAGGAUGAAUUUAGGAAUGGUUGCCAUUUCAUGGUACAGUUGAGCUGAUGUUGAGUAUGUGUUUGUGUGUAGCGGUUCAUUUCCUCCUUUUCUUUCUGCAACAUUUCGUUCACUUGCUUAUAGAAAGAUUCAUCACAUAGGCCUUUAGCUUGAUUGUUCCGCAUACCAUGAGAACCAGCAUGAAUUUGGAUAUAUGUUUCUGCAGAUUUCAGAAUGUAUCCAAGAUUGCAGGGAAGUUAAUUACACCAUCUCUGGAAGAUGGACUGUGGAAGAUGUACAUAGCCCCUCAGUUAUUUCACUUUGUCCUGGAUUAAUAACAGAUUACUAAUUUAUUUGUUUAAACAGGGCGGGUUAUUUACGAAAGUAUUUUCUAUGCAGAACUGAUUAGCAUUAACUCUAGACCAUUUACUAUUGACUGGAUAAUUUACAUGUUGGCAAGGACUUAUUCCUGCAGCCUGGUCAUAAUUGCUCAGCCAAUUUCCCAACCCAAAUCCAGAACCACUUCAUUUUUAGAUCUUUACGUGCUUCAUGAAAUGCCUUAGUGAUUAAGCUCUGCACUUUGUUUUUCUUUGUUCUCCUGCUCACAGAAACCGAUGGCUGCAAGACCGAGAGAAGCAUUAGGAACUGGUCCGCAGCGUCUUCCAGUUGUUGUCUGCAAGGCCGAAGGGUGUGAGCAAUUUCAUCGAGGCUGAUGCAAUCUUUGAACCAGUAGUGACGCUAGUGCCUGUAUAUCCCAUGACUGGUUCUUUCAGCUCAAUAUCCAUACACUACUUGUUUGUAUUCUGUAUUCCAGUGCAAAUUAUGAUUGUUGCUAAACACUCUUGCAUGUAACUGCACUACUAUCUGCUCUAAAAAAUGUCACUGCACUACCACAAUGCUAGCAUGCAUUCCUUUUCACAUCUAACACUUAUUGAAUUGUUCAUCUUCUUUCUCCUCUGUUUGUCACAAAGAUUCUUCUAUAACAACCUCUUUAAGGAGAUCAACUAAUCUUCUUGUCGCAGUUUUUGUUGAAACAUUGAUUAGGUGCUCCAAGAAUGUAUGUGAGCUUGACAUUGUAUUUAACGGCAUCAAGGUACAAUGAUUCUCUUUGUUUGUAUUUUAUUCUGGAAUGUCACUGUCAUAAUAAAUAAAGUCCAGAAAAGCAUUGGUGUUUUUAUCUUCGCAUGUACUCCCUCCGUUCCUAAAUAUAAAUCUUUUUAGAGAUUUCAAUAAGAACUACAUACGGAUGUAUAUAGACAAGCAGACGCUUUUUUGUAGCUUAGUUUCAUAUGUUGAACUGCGUUGUUGAGUGCAGUGCAUAGGCUCUUUAUAAAUUGCUCAGUAGGCAAUCAACGCGGCACAUGUGGGGGCUGUGAGAGCUGUGAAUGGCAUCGGUCUUGUCAUACUUAUGAGCAGGAGCACGGGCCACAUUACUCUUCAUGCCACUCUGAGCAGCCGAGAUGUUGACUGCUGCUUGAAUCCUGAGAUUGAUUUCCACGUUGUAAUAGAAGGGAGGCCUGUUUGAGUUCCUGUAUGAAAGGGUAAAUAAGAAGGGGCAUGUUUUCAUGGUAGUUGUUGAAGGUGUUGGUCAGGAGUUGAUUACCCGGACCGAUGACCAGAACCAAGAGUAGGAUGAGUAUGUUAAGGGCAUCUCCAGCCGCGCCCCCAACAGGCCCCCCGGGGCCACUUUUUCGGUGCCGGCGCCGAAAAAACGACCCAGUCGCGCCCUCAGGACGCCAAAAAUUGCCGGUUCGGACCUUUUUUCCGCCCGGCGGU